ACGGCCGCAUCACGUUGAAACAUCAGUUCACGUACAAUCACCGAAGUUAAGCAACAUUGAGCCUGGUUAGUACCUAGGUGAGUAACCUCUUGGGAAUACCAGGUCCUGUAA